GCGGCGACGUAGUCAAAAUCCAGAUCCUUCAGCUCCAUCACAUCACUGCGCCCGGCCAGGACAGAGCUCGUCCACACCGCCGCCGAACACAAAACACACAAUAACCCGAGACCUGACACACAACCGGCCAUGACAGCUAGUGUCCACGAGAGAGGCGGGACCAAAAAGCAAUACGUCACAACGCGCGCACGCUGAUUGGUCAAGAUGGCUUGAGACGGGGUACCAAUCCAAUGAUACAUUACUGAUGAUUAUCCUAAUCGGCAUGUCUCUGGACUGUGGGAGGAAACCGGAGUACCUGGAGGAAACCCACCAACACGGGGAGAACAUGCAAACUCCAU